ACGGCCACAUUGGGACUGAGACACGGCCCAGACUCCUACGGGAGGCAGCAGUGGGGGAUAUUGCACAAUGGGGGAAACCCUGAUGCAGCGACGCCGCGUGGAGGAAGAAGGUUUUCGGAUUGUAAACUCCUGUCGUUAGGGACGAUAAUGACGGUACCUAACAAGAAAGCACCGGCUAACUACGUGCCAGCAGCCGCGGUAAAACGUAGGGUGCAAGCGUUGUCCGGAAUUACUGGGUGUAAAGGGAGCGCAGGCGGGAAGACAAGUUGGAAGUGAAAACCAUGGGCUCAACCCAUGAAUUGCUUUCAAAACUGUUUUUCUUGAGUAGUGCAGAGGUAGAUGGAAUUCCCGGUGUAGCGGUGGAAUGCGUAGAUAUCGGGAGGAACACCAGUGGCGAAGGCGGUCUACUGGGCACCAACUGACGCUGAGUCUCGAAAGCAUGCNUAGCAUACAAGGGUACAUUCCUUUCUUNUCCNUCCNNUNCNCCCCCCUUAAGGAAGAGGGGGGAUUGACCCCCCUCAGUGCCGCAGGUAACACAAUAAGUAAUCCACCUGGGGAGUGCAACCGCAAGGUUGAAACUCAAAGGAAUUGACGGGGGCCCGCACAAGCAGUGGAGUAUGUGGUUUAAUUCGAAGCAACGCGAAGAACCUUACCAGGUCUUGACAUCCGAUGCAUAGCACAGAGAUGUGUGAAAUCCUUCGGGACAUCGAGACAGGUGGUGCAUGGUUGUCGUCAGCUCGUGUCGUGAGAUGUUGGGUUAAGUCCCGCAACGAGCGCAACCCUUAUUGCCAGUUACUACGUUAAGAGGACUCUGGCGAGACUGCCGUUGACAAAACGGAGGAAGGUGGGGAGGACGUCAAAUCAUCAUGCCCUUUAUGACCUGGGCUACACACGUACUACAAUGGCGUUAAACAAAGAGAAGCAAGACCGCGAGGUGGAGCAAAACUCAAAAACAACGUCUCAGUUCAGAUUGCAGGCUGCAACUCGUCUGCAUGAAGUCGGAAUUGCUAGUAAUCGCGGAUCAGCAUGCCGCGGUGAAUAA
rnacentral:rRNA from 1 species